rnacentral:rRNA from 1 species
UGAGGAAUAUUGGUCAAUGGGGGCAACCCUGAACCAGCCAAGUCGCGUGAAGGAUGAAGGUCUUAUGGAUUGUAAACUUCCUUUACACGGGAAUAAAGUGGGGGACGUGUCCCCCUUUGCAUGUACCGUGUGAAUAAGGAUCGGCUAACUCCGUGCCAGCAGCCGCGGUAAUACGGAGGAUCCGAGCGUUAUCCGGAUUUAUUGGGUUUAAAGGGUGCGCAGGCGGGAUGUUAAGUCGGCGGUGAAAUUUUGCAGCUCAACUGUAAAAGUGCCUUCGAUACUGGCCUCCUUGAGUGUGGAUGAAGUAGGCGGAAUUUGUGGUGUAGCGGUGAAAUGCUUAGAUAUCACGAGGAACUCCGAUUGCGCAGGCAGCUUACUAAGCCACAACUGACGCUCAUGCACGAAGGCGUGGGGAUCAAACA